rnacentral:lncRNA from 1 species
AUGCGUCCACUCUCACUGAUUGCUAUUAACUCAUUGCAUGGCUUAAGAGCAAAGAUGACAGAGAGAAGGAGAGGGAGGAGAAAAACUCCUGAUCAGGAUGCUAUUGACCACAUUACCAUUGGAGAAGACAAAUCUUUCCUGGAAGGAAGAUUUAUUAACACACAUAAAGGGAGAGGUGUGCUUACACAAGACUACAUUGAACCAAAAAGUUUUGUGGUGGAGUAUCGUGGAGUUUUGUCUCUGAGCGACAGUGCAGAUGACAAAAACAGCAAAUAUGCAUUUGAGUUCAUGUGGAAUGGGAAGCACUAUUGGUAAGAUUGCUGCUUGUUCAUCAACGUCUUACUUGUUCAAAGAGAAGUUGUGUUUUUUUUGUAGGGUACAUUCAAUAACAACAA